UACAGAGGGGGCAAGCGUUAUUCGGAAUUAUUGGGCGUAAAGGGUGCGUAGGCGGCGCGGUAAGUCGGGUGUGAAAUCUCGGAGCUUAACUCCGAAACUGCAUUCGAUACUGCCGUGCUUGAGGACUGGAGAGGAGACUGGAAUUUACGGUGUAGCGGUGAAAUGCGUAGAUAUCGUAAGGAAGACCAGUGGCGAAGGCGGGUCUCUGGACAGUUCCUGACGCUGAGGCACGAAGGCCAGGGGAGCAAACGGG
rnacentral:rRNA from 1 species